CAGUGGGGAAUCUUGCGCAAUGGGGGAAACCCUGACGCAGCAACGCCGCGUGGGUGAUGAAGGCUCUCGGGUCGUAAAGCCCUGUCAGGUGGGAAGAAACGUGCUGAUACGAAUAAUAUCAGCAUUUGACGGUACUACCGGAGGAAGCACCGGCUAACUCCGUGCCAGCAGCCGCGGUAAUACGGAGGGUGCAAGCGUUGUUCGGAAUUAUUGGGCGUAAAGCGCGUGUAGGCGGUCAGGUAAGUCAGAUGUGAAAGCCUUCCGCUUAACGGAAGAAGUGCAUUUGAAACUGCUUGGCUAGAGUACGGGAGAGGAGAGUGGAAUUCCCGGUGUAGAGGUGAAAUUCGUAGAUAUCGGGAGGAACACCAGUGGCGAAGGCGGCUCUCUGGUCCGAUACUGACGCUGAGACGCGAAAGCGUGGGGAGCAAACAGGAUUAGA
rnacentral:rRNA from 1 species